AGCCUGGUAGCGCAAACGGGUAGCGCGUCUCCUCAGCAUCAUGUUAAGUGCCAUGACUUUCGGAGAAGGUUCAUGUUCGAAACAUGACCAGGCUU